AAUCUUAUAAUAUAAAUAAUAUAUUAAUUUGCAAAAUUAAAAAUGUAUAAUUACUAAGAUUUAAACUUAUUA
rnacentral:tRNA from 1 species